AGUGAACGCUGGCGGUAGGCCUAACACAUGCAAGUCGAACGGCAGCACAGUAAGAUCUUGCUCUUACGGGUGGCGAGUGGCGGACGGGUGAGGAAUACAUCGGAUUCUACUUUUUCGUGGGGGAUAACGUAGGGAAACUUACGCUAAUACCGCAUACGACCUACGGGUGAAAGCAGGGGUUCUUCGGACCUUGCGCGAUUGAAUGAGCCGGUGUCGCAUUAGCUAGUUGGCGGGGUAAAGGCCCACCAAGGCGACGAUCCGUAGCUGGUCUGAGAGGAUGAUCAGCCACACUGGAACUGAGACACGGUCCAGACUCCUACGGGAGGCAGCAGUGGGGAAUAUUGGGCAAUGGGCGAAAGCCUGACCCAGCAAUGCCGCGUGAGUGAAGAAGGCCUUCGGGUUGUAAAGCCCUUUUGUUGGGAAAGAAAAGCAGCAGGUUAAUACCCCGCUGUUCUGACGGUACCCAAAGAAUAAGCACCGGCUAACUUCGUG
rnacentral:rRNA from 1 species